GGUAAAGGCUUACCAAGACAAUGAUGCAUAGCCGAGUUGAGAGACUGAUCGGCCACAUUGGGACUGAGACCCGGCCCAAACUCCUACGGGAGGCUGCAGUAGGGAAUCUUCCACAAUGGGCGAAAGCCUGAUGGAGCAACGCCGCGUGUGUGAUGAAGGCUUUCGGGUCGUAAAGCACUGUUGUAUGGGAAGAAAAGUUAAGGUAGGGAAUGACCUUAGCCUGACGGUACCAUACCAGAAAGGGACGGCUAAAUACGUGCCAGCAGCCGCGGUAAUACGUAUGUCCCGAGCGUUAUCCGGAUUUAUUGGGCGUAAAGCGAGCGCAGACGGUUGGUUAAGUCUGAUGUGAAAGCCCGGAGCUCAACUCCGGAAAGGCAUUGGAAACUGGUUAACUUGAGUGCAGUAGAGGUAAGUGGAACUCCAUGUGUAGCGGUGGAAUGCGUAGAUAUAUGGAAGAACACCAGCGGCGAAGGCGGCUUACUGGACUGUAACUGACGUUGAGGCUCGAAAGUGUGGGUAGCAAACAGGAUUAGAUACCCUGGUAGUCCACACCGUAAACGAUGAACACUAGGUGUUAGGAGGUUUCCGCCUCUUAGUGCCGAAGCUAACGCAUUAAGUGUUCCGCCUGGGGAGUACGACCGCAAGGUUGAAACUCAAAGGAAUUGACGGGGACCCGCACAAGCGGUGGAGCAUGUGGUUUAAUUCGAAGCAACGCGAAGAACCUUACCAGGUCUUGACAUCCUUUGAAGCUUUUAGAAAUAGAAGUGUUCUCUUCGGAGACAAAGUGACAGGUGGUGCAUGGUCGUCGUCAGCUCGUGUCGUGAGAUGUUGGGUUAAGUCCCGCAACGAGCGCAACCCUUAUUGUUAGUUGCCAGCAUUCAGAUGGGCACUCUAGCGAGACUGCCGGUGACAAACCGGAGGAAGGCGGGGACGACGUCAGAUCAUCAUGCCCCUUAUGACCUGGGCUACACACGUGCUACAAUGGCGUAUACAACGAGUUGCCAACCUGCGAAGGUGAGCUAAUCUCUUAAAGUACGUCUCAGUUCGGACUGCAGUCUGCAACUCGACUGCACGAAGUCGGAAUCGCUAGUAAUCGCGGAUCAGCACGCCGCGGUGAAUACGUUCCCGGGUCUUGUACACACCGCCCGUCACACCAUGGAAGUUUGUAAUGCCCAAAGCCGGUGGCCUAACCGUAAGGAGGAACCGUCUAAGGCAG
rnacentral:rRNA from 1 species